UCAAUGAUCCUUGAGGCUAUGCAAUGCUAUGCUUAUGAUGCCAUGAGGGAUCUUAGGGACAAAAUUGGGGUCUUACAGUGUGGAUGUAAAAAAGAAAAAAAAAUAGGGAUCAAAGAAAGGGAAAUUGUGUAGAAGUUGAAUGUUUGGGAAUGCUCCCUUAGGAUAGGCAACUUUGUUGAAUUCUCUUAAUCACAUCCUUUCUUGU
rnacentral:lncRNA from 1 species